UACGUAGGGUGCGAGCGUUAAUCGGAAUUACUGGGCGUAAAGCGCGCGCAGGUGGUUCCCUAAGCCCGGCGUGAAAGCCCCCGGCUCAACCGGGGAGGGUCGUCGGGGACUGGAGAACUUGAGGGCGGCAGGGGCUGGUGGAAUCCCCGGUGUAGUGGUGAAAUGCGUAGAGAUCGGGGGGAACACCCGUGGCGAAGGCGGCCAGCUGGGCCGACCCUGACACUGAGGCGCGAAGGCGUGGGGAGCGAACGGG
rnacentral:rRNA from 1 species